CCUACGGGUGGCAGCAGUGGGGAAUAUUGGACAAUGGGGGGAACCCUGAUCCAGCGACGCCGCGUGAGUGAAGAAGUAUUUCGGUAUGUAAAGCUCUAUCAGCAGGGAAGAAAGAAAUGACGGUACCUGACUAAGAAGCCCCGGCUAACUACGUGCCAGCCGCCGCGGUAAUACGUAGGGGGCAAGCGGUAUCCGGAUUUACGGGGUGUAAAGGGAGCGUAGACGGCGAUGGUAGGCUGAAGGUAAAGGCGGGGGCCCAAACCCCGGACUGCUUUGGAAACUGGAUGGCUGGAGUGCAGGAGAGGUAAGUGGAAUGCGUAGUGUAGCGGUGAAAUGCGUAGAUAUUAGGAGGAACACCAGUGGCGAAGGCAGCAUACUGGACUGUAACUGACGUUGAGGCUCGAAAGCGUGGGGAGCAAACAGGAUUAGAUACCCCAGUAGUC
rnacentral:rRNA from 1 species